UGGGGAAUAUUGCACAAUGGGCGAAAGCCUGAUGCAGCGACGCCGCGUGAGGGAUGACGGCCUUCGGGUUGUAAACCUCUUUCAGCAGGGACGAAGCGCAAGUGACGGUACCUGCAGAAGAAGCACCGGCUAACUACGUGCCAGCAGCCGCGGUAAUACGUAGGGUGCAAGCGUUGUCCGGAAUUACUGGGCGUAAAGAGUUCGUAGUCGGUUUGUCGCGUCGUUUGUGAAAACCAGCAGCUCAACUGCUGGCUUGCAGGCUAUACGGGCAGACUUGAGUACUGCAGUGGAGUCUGGAAUUCCUGGUGUAGCGGUGAAAUGCGCAGAUAUCAGGAGGAACACCGGUGGCGAAGGCGGGUCUCUGGGCAGUAACUGACGCUGAGGAACGAAAGCGUGGGUAGCGAACAGG
rnacentral:rRNA from 1 species